ensembl:lncRNA
UGACCAUCUAGUGCUUUAUACUGGGAUCUGCCACAUCGUCUGGCACUCUAGACUGGGACACGCCACACCAGACCUUUCAGCUGUCAUUGAUGAUGUACGCCAGUAUAGAAUAUCUCUCCAGGGGUCGUUGGAGGAGAGGGUCAAGACUGUUGUUCAUCUGGCACCACAGACUGGGAGUUGCUACAUUUCUAAGGAACUCAAAAGAACACAGUUAUCGCAUCACAGCUGGGAGACAAUGAAAAACUAAAAAUCAAAGAAUGCAGUAUUGUCAACAAUUUGCCGUUGGAAAUGCUCAUCUCAAUUCCCAACUUCAUAUAUCUUAUUGUACAGUGUUCUUGGGGAAAGGGCAUGAAAGAAAAAGCUCAGUCCGUUUUUAAGACAUUCUGUUUUGAAGAGAACAUUUAAUGUCACUCUACCAAAUUCUGUCCUUCUUAAGACAGAAAACACUUCAACUAUACAACAAAAAGCCAAACCAAAACACCGACGAAGCAAAGUAGAAUCUUCUAAAUGAUAUAUUCCAAAGGUAUUAUCUAUUAAUAUAAAGGUCAGCUGACAGUGCUCUCAUAAGAAGUAAUUCCGUUUUGAUGAUGUCUUCUAUCAGCUACUCAAAGGACCAGAAUUGCUCUUCUAACCUAGAGAGAUAGAAAAAUCUAUUCUUGCCAAACAUUUCUGUAUUUUUUCCUCAAAAAUUUUCCUAUUGCAAAAGCAGUAUAUAUAUUCAUUGCAUUCUUUCUAAACAUAUGUUACUAGUGUUUCCAUAUAAAAUAUAACUCUGAAUAAAGAUAUUUGAUGAAAGCCUUUCUUUUUCACUUUAGAAUCUCAUUCUCUAACUAGAGAAUGCAAUUACUUUCCAAAAACUAGGCAUACUGAAAUGAAGUAAAUGACUUUAUUAUGUGUAUGUAUCAUCCACUUGACUUAUUUUCUUACUCUUCAGUUCUCUGAAAUUAUAAAUGUGGAGAAUAAAAAUUGUAAAAGGAAUAUUCAGUAUGUUUUACUUCGUGUGAAUUUUAUGUGCUCUCAAAAGAGAGAGCAAGGAAAAAGUGUUUAAAUUAUGGCAACACAUAUAAUUCUCUCCAAUGGCCUACAUAUUUGGGGAAGGUAGAUAAGCUUAAAUAUUAAAUCCUAAGACUUUUGAGUUUAAUGCACUAGGUUUAACAUAAUCUUGAAGAACACAUCAGUCAGAGAUAAGGAUUUGGAUCAACGGUUCUUAAUUUUGGGAGGUAGCAUAAACUUCUUUCAAAUUUUGAUAAAAGCUUUGGAAACUUCAUUGGUGAAAAAUGAUAUGCAAAUAAAACUUAGCAUAAUUUCAAAGGAUUCAAGUAACCCUGAAAUCUUUCAGUGUGUUCUGGUUUAAGAAAACUUCAUCUAAAAUAUCUCCACGAAUGUACCUAAAAUUAGUCAUUCAAGAUUGGAACAAUAAAACUCAGAGUAAAUGGUCAAUGAAUUUGGAUUGGAUGAAUUGAAUUGAAUUGAGAAAACAGCGCGGAACUGAUGGUUGCAGGAAAUCUUGAGCUCAUGUCCUAGCUAUGUAACCCUAAGUUACUUAAUCAUCUAGUUCUUUGUUCUACGGCUAUAAAAUAAAGGAAUUGGUG